GUCUUCAGAAGAUGACAAACCUGUGGGGCGUAAGUAGAAUGCAUAUCGUGUCUUUAUACCAUUGAAUACGGUAAUAGUGGAUAAAGUGCGAGAUAUCCGUAUUUGUGUUCUAUGAUCGUGCAGACGUUAAAAUCAGGU
rnacentral:ribozyme from 1 species